UCACUCCGAGGACGAUUCGAACGAGCGAGUAGUUGUGUUGUCAGUGUGUCUGUAGUACCGCACACAACAACCAAACGAGUAGUCAUCUGUUUCCUACGCCGUCUCUCGUUUAUUUUUCCAAUAUGGACGACUAAAACACCGAAGACGAAGACGACGGCGAAGACGACGACGAGGACUCACGGGCGGAUGGAUAAUCUUCGCGGCAGUAGGGAGGAUACCCUCCGUCUCGGAGUGCACCACGAAAUAGUCUCUUGAAAGAUUUAAAGAGAACAAUAUCACCGAGAGUCGGUAAAAAAGUAAUCUACCUGGGAAGAUGAUAUUGCUGUCACCGAUAAAGAAGUUUUCUCCCUUUAUCAUGAGAAAAAAGAGAAGAGGAUUAAUACGAAGUAGUGAUUAAUGAUACUCAUGGAAAGAAAGGACAAAAA